rnacentral:sRNA from 1 species
UGAUGCGGUGAUUCAAAAUGAACGUGAACAUCGAUGCCGCCUGCGGUUGCAAUCCAGCCGGGGUCUCCGGUGAUAAUUUCCGUUUCGGGACUGAUUACCAGCCCCGGUGUAAUAUCCAUGGUAUCCGGAUUUCCCGCUUUUCCGAUUCCGACAAUCUUUCCAUCCUUAAUUCCUAUAUCACCUUUUAUGACUCCGAGAAUCGGGUCCAGAAUAAUCAUAUUGGUAAUUACCAAAUCCAGACCAUCACCCUUUGUCGUCACUCCCGGCUUCUGUGCCAUACCGUCA